rnacentral:rRNA from 1 species
GAAAGUAAGCAAGGGCGUACGGGGGAUGCCUAGGCUCUUGGAGGCGAAGAAGGACGUGUUAAGCUGCGAAAAGCUGCGGGGAUUUGCAAAAGAGAGUUGAUCCGCAGAUAUCCGAAUGGGGCAACCCGGCAGAUAGGAGAUCUGUCACAUCGAGAGAUGAGCGAACCCUAUGAACUGAAACAUCUAAGUAAUAGGAGGAGGAGAAAGAAACAUCGAUUUCCCGAGUAGUGGCGAGCGAAAAGGAAAUAGCCCAAACCGGCGUUGUUACGGCAACGUCGGGGUUGUAGGACUGCGAAAUCUUAAUACGAACGAACGGGAACAUGCUGGAAAGCGUGACCAUAGAGGGUGAAAGUCCCGUACCGGUAAGUUGCGUAAGCGGAAGCAGUAUCCUGAGUAUGGCGGGACACGAGGAAUCCUGUCAGAAACCGCGGGGACCACCCCGCAAGGCUAAAUACUCCCAAGAGACCGAUAGUGGACCAGUACCGUGAGGGAAAGGUGAAAAGUACCCCGAACAGGGGAGUGAAAAAGAACCUGAAACCGUACGCUUACAACCUGUCGGAGCGGCUUAGUGCCGUGACGGCGUGCCUUUUGCAUAAUGAGCCUACGAGUUACUAAUCACUAGCGAGGUUAAGGGCUAUAAGGUCCGGAGCCGAAGCGAAAGCGAGUCUGAAUAGGGCGCAAAGUUAGUGGUUGUAGACGCGAAACCUUGCGAUCUACCCAUGAGCAGGAUGAAAGUUGGGUAAAACCACCUGGAGGUCCGCACCGGUAAACGUUGAAAAGUUUUCGGAUGACUUGUGGGUAGGGGUGAAAGGCUAAUCAAGCUGGGAAAUAGCUCGUACUCCCCGAAAUGCUUUUAGGAGCAGCGUUGCAAUAGUAUACUGGAGGUAGAGCUACUGAUUGGAUGCGGGGGCUUCACCGCCUACCAAAUCCUGACAAACUCCGAAUGCCAGUAUUAUGUUUUGCAGCAGUGAGCCGCUGGGUGCUAAUGUCCGGCGACAAAAGAGGAACAACUCAGACCAUCAUCUAAGGCCCCGAAGAAUACACUAAGUUGAACUAACGAUGUGCGACUGCAGCGACAGCUAGGAUGUUAGCUUGGAAGCAGCUAUUCAUUUAAAGAGUGCGUAACAGCUCACUAGUCGAGCGGUUGUGCGUGGAUAAUAAACGGGCAUCAAGUGUAUCGCCGAAGCUAUGGACUCUACGGAGUGGUAGGGGAGCAUUCCAUCGACGCCGAAGCCGUGUCGUAAGGCAUGGUGGAGUUUAUGGAAAAGCAAAUGUAGGCAUAAGUAACGAUAAGGCGGGAGAGAAACCCGCCCACCGCAAGACCAAGGUUUCCUGAUCAACGCUAAUCGGAUCAGGGUUAGUCGGGUCCUAAGGGUAAGCCGUUAGGUGAUCUCGAUGGACAAUCGGUUAAUAUUCCGAUACCGAUGCAUACUGCGACGGAGGGACGGAGAAGCGUAAGCUGCGCCAACAUACGGAAUUGUUGGUUAAAGAGCGUAGGUAUAGGACGACGUUAAUAGCGACGUUUUGCUGAAACUCGACAGUACCGAGCGGCUACGGCCAAUCGGAUAGUCAGCCCAAGCAAGCUUCCGAGAAAAACUUCUAAGCUUCAGGUAUGCAUCGCCCGUACCGUAAACCGACACAGGUGGUCGAGGAGAGUAUCCUCAGGUGCUUGAGUGAAUCACGGAUAAGGAACUAGGCAAAUUGACCCCGUAACUUAGGGAUAAGGGGUCCCCACGUGAGUGGGGCGCAGCGAAAAGGUCCAGGCAACUGUUUAACAAAAACAUAGGGCUAUGCUAAUUCGAGAGAAGACGUAUAUGGCCUGACACCUGCCCGGUGCUGGAAGGUUAAGAGGGGAUGUUAGCGCAAGCGAAGCAUUGAAUCGAAGCCCCAGUAAACGGCGGCCGUAACUAUAACGGUCCUAAGGUAGCGAAAUUCCUUGUCGGGUAAGUUCCGACCUGCACGAAUGGUGUAAUGAUCUGGACACUGUCU